UAUAAUUUUCAUAUUAACACUAUAGUCUAUGAAGUUAUAUUUCCAAAUAUUUCACUUUUCGCAUAAGCUGAGGCAGCAUUUUGUUUUAAAAUAUUUUCGGAAGUAAAUUUUGUGAAUAAACUCCAUGAUGUUUCAAGUGUGUGAAUUGCACUUUUGCUAAAAAAAUGAGAUAACAAGGUGCAGAGGAUAUGAACGGUUGUGGCUUGCGGGGUCGGACGGGGAGGCGACGACGGCGGGGAGCAGCGACGCAUCGGCGGACGGCAACACAUGUGUAGCACGUAGUGGCAGCGGCUGCACAGCCACGACGGACGAGCAACAACAUGAAGCAGGUGCAGGUGGGGCUAAGAGUAAGUAUCACUUGUCAUGUUUAACUCAUGGCCAACAAAGAGUAUCACUUGAAACUCACUACAGGAAGAAUAAUGUUGUAUGUGUUCCACUUGGUUGCUCAUUUAGUAUUAAUUUCUUAUCACUUCCUUUUAUUUGCAGUCAAGUUUUGAAACUGGGCUUUGAUGAGAAGUUCAUCCGUCUAUGGGAAUUCUACCUUGUAUACUCUGGCGAUGGUUUCAAGUUAUGAGCAGUUAGGGAUUAUCAGGUUCAGAUGUACAUAUGUGUGCUCUUUGUAUAGGUUUACAUGCAUUGUUCCUAAAAUGGAAGUCAUAUACCCCCUCUGGUCUUAAAAAAUCAUCUUGCUAGAAAUUGUUUGGUGGUUUCCAAUGCAGACUAAAAUUUGAGUUGAUGUUGCU
rnacentral:lncRNA from 1 species